rnacentral:misc_RNA from 1 species
UUUGCUAGUCUUGGAGCAGGUAACAGAAUUUGUCUAAUGCGUGAAUGUAUUUGAUCAUUGACUGUUCAUUAAUUUCAUGAGAUAGAAAUCUAAUGAUAAUGAAAUAGAAAUCUGAUAGACUUCCCCAAGAGUUUCUUAUAGCUGAUUACAGAAUUUGUCUAAUGCAUAAAUAUAUUAAUGCAUUGAUUCUUUCACUAAUUCAUGAAAUCUGAUGACAAUUUUCCCUCUGAGUUGCUAAACGUAGUACAUGAGCAAGUGUUACUAAAAACCUACAUCAUUGCAAGCCCAGCCGGUCUAAGCCAUUGCGAGCCUCAACGGACCCGGGUUGGACCUUUAGGGCCUCCCCAAAAGCCCAUUUAGCAUCCUCCCUCAUUCCUUUCCACUCGUAACACUGGCCCAACAAACAAAGCGCUCUUUCUCCUUCACCACUCAGCUUCACACCCUCCUUUAAAUCGUCAAUAGCCGAGUCAACUCGCCGUCUCCGAUUCACAGCCAUCUUUAACUCGGCCCUCUUGAUCAACGCAUCCCCACGCUCUCUCCCCUCCAACGACUUCACACGCGGAGAAGACAGCGCCGACUCGAGAGCUUUCAGGGCAGAUCCCUUGUGACCCAUGAGAUCGAGAGCUAGAGCCUUGAGGAGUAGAGGCGCGGGAUCUCUGGGAGAGAGAGAGAUUGCAGUUUCGGCUUCAAGGAGUGCGUUUUUGGCUAGGCUUAGAGAUUGGGAUUUAUGAGAUGUGGAUUUGGCUUUGGCUAAGAAGUGAGUACCUUGGAUGAAGUGGCGAUUGGACUGCAAGGAGGCUCUGUUCUUGGUGCGAAGCUUGGUUAGGGCUUGUUUGGGGAAAUAUUGGAUGGCUAUGACCAUGGCAACGGCAAAUAUGAGAAUAAGCACUUGAAUUGCAGCAUCUGUGAAUGCCAUUGAUUUGGGGAGAGAGCUUCUUCUAUCCCCAGAAUAGCAGACUUGAGCAACCGGAAAGCCGAGUGGGUUGUGGCAUUUCCAGCUUUCACGUACCCAUCUGAUUUUUUAUUGGGCUGGGCUGGCUUUGGUUACCUGUAGGCCUGAUCUCAUCCUGCCCAAUGUUAGAAUUGGCAAGCCAAAAUACAUAAUACAACUUAUUUUUAAUGGGGUUAAAUUCCUAAAUGUUAGGUUCUUCGGAUCUCACAUUUGGUAAAGUUGUGUGUGUGUGAGUUAUACAGGAUCAAAGAUUCUAUUAACAGUGGUCCAAUUUUAUCUCUGACCCAUAUAUGUAUUCCCUUUCUUUAACAAAAAAAAAAAAAGGUAACCACCUGAGUGAAAAUACAAGAGAGGUGAGAAUUCACGAUGAUAGCCUUGAUUGAGGUCUGCAAGUUCAUGAGUGAGCUCAGGAGCUGGUUCUUUGGGAUCACACAUUGUGGCGAGGGCGUGCGUGUAUGAAUAUAUAGGAUUAAAAAUUGUUAAAAUUAUUAUGGUUUUAACAACGGUUGAGUCCCUAUCUCUGACCCGUGUGUAUAUUCUCUUCCUUUGACAAAAAAAAAA